UUACAUACCUACGAAUUUGUGAGAACGUCGCCCGUUACCGUUUUAGCUUUCAUGGGGUAACAUUAACCGUCCCGCAACCCGGCCAACCCCCCGCCACUCCUACAACCCAUAACUACACAAUGCCGUCGCAGGGACAACAACAACAGCAACAUGCGAGCAUUGCACACCACAUACACGCUCCUCUGCUCUUUCGGCCUGCUAAUCGUUUCUGCUCGCCUGCUGGCUGCUUAUGUUUAUUUGUAUAUAUCGAGCAACACAAACGCACAAAGCUCAUAUGCAAAACCCGCCCGGCACAUACAACUCUACCGUGCCACCCGUAUGCCCCAUAGACUCAUGGGUACACCCCGAGCAACCGUACUCUCUGCAACGGAAAGCAUCCGCAUAUCCAUCAGAGCUCGGCUAGCCAACGAGCACGGACUUGCUGUCGAGUUGUAUGUUGCUUUACACUUGG
ensembl:ncRNA lncRNA:CR45352 long non-coding RNA:CR45352